GCAACCGGAGUCCUUUUCCACACUGUGGAAGCUUUGUUCUUUUGCUCUUUGCAAUAAAUCUUGCUGCUGCUCACUCUUUGGGUCCACACUGCCUUUAUGAGCUGUAACACUCACCGUGAAGGUCUGCAGCUUUACUCCUGAAGCCAGCGAGACCACGAACCCACCGGCAGGAACGAACAACUCCAGACGCGCCGCCUUAAGAGCUGUAACACUCACCGCGAAGGUCUGCAGCUUCACUCCUGAGCCAGCGAGACCACGAACCCACCGGAAGGAAGAAACUCUGAACACAUCCGAACAUCAGAAGGAACAAACUCCGGACACGCCGCCUUUAAGAACUGUUAACACUCACCGCAAGGGUCCGCGGCUUCGUUCUUGAAGUCAGUGAGACCAAGAACCCACCAAUUCCGGACACAAGGGGAGCUGACUUUCAUUAUAAAGAUUUUCUCAUUGCAAAGUGAAAAAGAGAAUAAUAACUUUAAAACAAGGCAGAAAGUAAAGAGAACUGGAAGCGAGGAACAUGCUCUGAACUAGAACUGGCAACAUGAGAGAUGAGCUCAGGCUUCAAAAUGGUGUCUGCACUGGGUCUUGAAGGAAGAGCAGAGUUUGGGCAUUUAGAAACCAAGAAUUCCAGGUUGACAAGUCUCAGAGCAUGGUGCUGGCAUCUGGCAAGGGCCUUAUCCCAUGGCAGAAGGCAGAAGUGAGUACACAAGACAGAGGGAAGAAGGAGGCCAGACUCCCAAGGUGCAAUAGGACGGCUAGAGGGAACUGGAGCUGGAUAUUUCCCUUCUCUCAGAAAUGAAUGGCAGUAUCAUCAGAACAACCACCCAUAUGUUUUCCCAAAGCAAGACAUUGUGAGGUGUUAAGAGAUAUAUGCAGGUA
rnacentral:lncRNA from 1 species